rnacentral:lncRNA from 1 species
CACACUAAGGCUCUAGCCAAUGGGAGCCGAGGAGAGGCGCGGGGGAGGCGGGCCCCGCGGCAAGCCGUGCAGAGGCGCGAGGCCCUCCUCCCGCCUCUCCGCCUACUCCAGCCUCCGCCGCCUCAGCUUCCCGAGCGAGCCCUGCGGCCGCCGGAGCAGCUCCCGCGGCGGAGCAGGAGCCGGAUGGUCAGAGGAGCCCGGCAGCCCCAGCAGCCGCGGAGUCGCCUGGCCCCCAGACUGACUGGCACAGUGGAGAAACCACCUCGAAAACGGAAAAGCAGUUCGGGAACAAUUCCGACCUUAUGGGGCUGUGAAGAUGACAAACGUAUAGAAGAUGCCUGGCAUGGUUCCUGACGAUUGGGAGUUGAUUUCUCCUGUCCCUGCCCUUUUCUUCUUUCAGCUGCGACUAGAAAUCCAAGUUGUUGAGGAGUGAUUUCUUUUCUUGAUAACUUCCCUCUAGAUAAGUAAUCCCGCCUUUUAAGCUGUUUUCUGGUAAUAUGUAGGCCAUCAAGUUACCUUUUAUAAUUUGCAUGUCAUUUUGUUUAUCAUUUUAAUUCCAGGAGUAAUUCAUGUGCUUUGUAAGUGUUGUGCACAUAUUCCCCUCACAAACUUUUGGUUUAAUUCAUGCUUUUGUAAUUGAAUGUUGCAUGAAAACUGUUAAUAAUUAGGAAGCCCUCUUUACUUUGUUCCCCGCGUCUUUCUCCCCGUGUUCCAUGAAAUGGCAAUUUUUGAAAGUCACCGACACUGCAUGUUUGCUAACUCAUGUAGAUUUGGAUGCUUACUAGAAUUUCUUAAGCACUGUCUUAUAACUUCUGUGAUUGUCACCAUGUCAACAGAAUGGUAGUCAUGCACAGACGCAAAGAAUAGGGUUUCCUCAACUAAUGAGUAAUUGAGGUAGAUAAAAAACAGGCCUUUUUAUAUGAAGAUACUUUCUCUAUGAAAUUAGAUUAAACAAUAUAGCAUUUAACUACCAACUGUGAAAAACUAUUUACUGAGAAGUGAGGAGCAAGAUUUAAAAGAAGUGUAACUAACUUCCAGCUUAAAAAUGGCUGAGGCUCCUUUUCAAUUAAAUGCUGAUCUCUCCCUCUUAAUACCUUAUUAUUUGCCAUAUAGUGAAGCAUUAAAAAGGCUCAUUAUUUAAACAUUAAUUAUUGAUUUAACUGGAAGGUAUGUAAUUUAAAGAUUAAUUAAUUUAACCUCACAUAAUGAUAUAACCGAGUUGGGAGGGGUUCUAGGAGUAUAAGUGAACAAAUUCCUUAUUUGUCAUUAUAGAAAAUCUGU